rnacentral:lncRNA from 1 species
CACCGACGCCACCGACCCUUCGCGCCGGCCCGAGGUAUUCGCGGCCGUGGGCGGAUGCUCCGGCCUCGACGACGCCGGCGUCCCUCGGGCGUUCAACCUUGAUUUGAAGGCCUCCUGCUCGGCAGCCUCGAUUUGAAGGCCUGCAUCGUCGACAACCUUGAUUUGAAGGCCAGCAUCCUCGGAAGCCUCGAUUUGAAGGUCUGCAUCCUCGAUCUGAAGAUCUGCAUCCUCCGCAGUCUCCAUUUGAAUCGAGUUCACGAGGUCGUCGGCGUCCCGCGAGCUUCCUGCUAUUCGCGGCGUCGGGCGCCAGCACCGACGACAGGGGACGAGGAUGGCCUCCUCGUGGAGC